GUGGGUGACGAGUGGUGGCCGAAGCAGGGGGACAGCAAGGGACGCUCAGGCGGGGACCAUGGCGGACGGCGGCUCGGAGCGGGCUGACGGGCGCAUCGUCAAGAUGGAGGUGGACUACAGCGCCACGGUGGAUCAGCGCCUACCCGAGUGUGCGAAGCUAGCCAAGGUUGUGUAACAAAUCAUUGAAAGAUUGGAUUCAUUCAGGAAUUAAAGGAGGUGCAAACAGAACUUAUACUCAACAUUGAUGUUGAACAAACUCAUUAGUCGCUUACAUCAUUUACAAGGAUUAUUUUAAUGAGGAAAAUGAGUCACUGAAGUCACAUGUUCUAACAGGAAGGAAGACUUCAAGAAGUCAUUGAAACCCUUCUCUCUCUGGAAAAGCAGACUCGUACUGCUUCCGAUAUGGUAUCGACAUCCCGUAUCUUAGUUGCAGUAGUGAAGAUGUGCUAUGAGGCUAAAGAAUGGGAUUUACUUAAUGAAAAUAUUAUGCUUUUGUCCAAAAGGCGGAGUCAGUUAAAACAAGCUGUUGCCAAAAUGGUUCAACAGUGCUGUACUUAUGU
rnacentral:lncRNA from 1 species